UGGGGAAUAUUGGGCAAUGGGCGAAAGCCUGACGGAGCAACGCCGCGUGAGUGAAGAAGGCCUUCGGGUCGUAAAGCUCUGUCUUUAGGGAAGAACAUCAUAUAUGUGAAUAAUGUAUAUGUCUGACGGUACCUAAGGAGGAAGCUCCGGCUAACUACGUGCCAGCAGCCGCGGUAAUACGUAGGGAGCAAGCGUUGUCCGGAAUUACUGGGCGGAAAGGGCGCGUAGGCGGGAAUUUAAGUUAGAGGUGAAAACUCUGAGCUCAACUUGGAGACUGCAUUUA
rnacentral:rRNA from 1 species